UGGGGAAUCUUGCGCAAUGGGCGAAAGCCUGACGCAGCAACGCCGCGUGCGGGAUGAAGGCCCUCGGGUCGUAAACCGCUUUCAGCAGGGACGAAAAUGACGGUACCUGCAGAAGAAGCCCCGGCUAAAUACGUGCCAGCAGCCGCGGUGAUACGUAUGGGGCGAGCGUUGUCCGGAUUUAUUGGGCGUAAAGAGCUCGUAGGCGGUUCAGUAAGUCGGGUGUGAAAAAUCUAGGCUUAACCUAGUGGAGCAUCCGAUACUGCUGUGACUAGAGUCCGGUAGGGGAGUGUGGAAUUCCUGGUGUAGCGGUGAAAUGCGCAGAUAUCAGGAGGAACACCAACAGCGAAGGCAGCACUCUGGGCCGGAACUGACGCUGAGGAGCGAAAGCGUGGGUAGCAAACAGG
rnacentral:rRNA from 1 species